UUCGACCUCAAAUCAGGUAGGACUACCCGCUGAACUUAAGCAUAUCAAUAAGCGGAGGAAAAGAAACCAACAGGGAUUGCCUUAGUAGCGGCGAGUGAAGCGGCAAAAGCUCAAAUUUGAAAUCUGGCACUUUCAGUGUCCGAGUUGUAAUUUGAAGAAGGUAUCUUUGGGGUCUGGUUUGUUAGUUUCUUGGAAAC
rnacentral:rRNA from 1 species